rnacentral:rRNA from 1 species
GACCUGGCCGGGCGGUCUGCCUAACGGUAUGUACUGUCUGGCUGGGUCUUACCUCUUGGUGAGCCGGCAUGCCCUUCACUGGGUGUGUCGGGGAACCAGGACUUUUACCUUGAGAAAAUUAGAGUGUUCAAAGCAGGCCUAUGCCUGAAUACAUUAGCAUGGAAUAAUAAAAUAGGACGUGCGGUUCUAUUUUGUUGGUUUCUAGAGUCGCCGUA